GGACUACCGGGGUAUCUAAUCCCGUUUGCUCCCCACGCUUUCGUGCCUGAGUGUCAGAAAUGAGCCAGUAGACUGCCUACGCCAUCGGUGUUCCUCCUAAUAUCAACGGAUUUUACCCCUACACUAGGAAUUCCAUCUACCUCUCUCAUCCUCUAGCUUGGUAGUUCAAACAAUGUAUAUGCGGUUGAGCCGCACGCUUUCACUGUUUGCUUUCCAUGCCACCUACGCAACUCUUUACGCCCAGUAAUUCCGGAUAACGCUUGGAUCCUCCGUAUUACCGCGGCGGCUGGCAC
rnacentral:rRNA from 1 species